rnacentral:rRNA from 1 species
CCAAUAGCGUAUAUUAAAGUUGUUGCAGUUAAAAAGCUCGUAGUUGAAUUUCGGGAUCAAAUUGUCGGUCGUGCCUCGGUACGCACUGGUAUUAUUGGUUCCUACCUUCUGAAGAACCGCGAUGUCAUUAAUUUGGUGUCGUGGGGAAUCAGGACUUUUACUUUGAAAAAAUUAUAGUUUUUAAAGCAGGCUUACGCUUGAAUACAUUAGCAUGGAAUAAUGAAAUAGGACGUUUGAUUCUAUUUUGUUGGUUUCUAGGAUUGACGUAAUGAUUAAUAGGGAUAGUUGGGGGCAUUAGUAUUCAAUUGUCAGAGGUGAAAUUCUUGGAUUUAUUGAAGACUAACUACUGCGAAAGCAUUUGCCGAGGAUGUUUUCAUUAAUCAAGAACGAAAGUUAGGGGAUCGAAGACGAUCAGAUACCGUCGUAGUCUUAACCAUAAACUAUGCCGACUAGGGAUCGGAUGAUGUUAAUUUUUUAAUGACUCAUUCGGCGCCUUACG